UAGCCGGCCUGAGAGGGUGACCGGCCACAUUGGGACUGAGACACGGCCCAAACUCCUACGGGAGGCAGCAGUGGGGAAUAUUGCACAAUGGGCGAAAGCCUGAUGCAGCGACGCCGCGUGAGUGAAGAAGUAUUUCGGUAUGUAAAGCUCUAUCAGCAGGGAAGAAAAUGACGGUACCUGACUAAGAAGCCCCGGCUAACUACGUGCCAGCAGCCGCGGUAAUACGUAGGGGGCAAGCGUUAUCCGGAUUUACUGGGUGUAAAGGGAGCGUAGACGGCGAAGCAAGUCUGAAGUGAAAACCCAGGGCUCAACCCUGGGACUGCUUUGGAAACUGUUUUGCUAGAGUGUCGGAGAGGUAAGUGGAAUUCCUAGUGUAGCGGUGAAAUGCGUAGAUAUUAGGAGGAACACCAGUGGCGAAGGCGGCUUACUGGACGAUAACUGACGUUGAGGCUCGAAAGCGUGGGGAGCAAACAGGAUUAGAUACCCUGGUAGUCCACGCCCUAAACGAUGAAUGCUAGGUGUUGGGGGGCAAAGCCCUUCGGUGCCGU
rnacentral:rRNA from 1 species